rnacentral:lncRNA from 1 species
ACCUUUUUCUUUUGCUCAUUUGAUCCACCCUUUCAAAUUUUCUUUGCACAAUUAUUUUUCAUCUUUUCUUUCCACAAAUCUCUUUAUUUUAAGUUUGUAUUCACAAUUUUUAUUUCUUUUUCAAUUUUUUUCUUUCUUUUUCAAUUUUUUUCUUUCUUUUUCAAUCCUUAACAAACUACCAUUUCUUUCUUCUUUCUAACUUGAAUACAAU